GAUGAACGCUGGCGGCGUGCCUAAUACAUGCAAGUCGAGCGAACGGACGAGAAGCUUGCUUCUCUGAUGUUAGCGGCGGACGGGUGAGUAACACGUGGAUAACCUACCUAUAAGACUGGGAUAACUUCGGGAAACCGGAGCUAAUACCGGAUAAUAUUUUGAACCGCAUGGUUCAAAAGUGAAAGACGGUCUUGCUGUCACUUAUAGAUGGAUCCGCGCUGCAUUAGCUAGUUGGUAAGGUAACGGCUUACCAAGGCAACGAUGCAUAGCCGACCUGAGAGGGUGAUCGGCCACACUGGAACUGAGCCACGGUCCAGACGCCUACGGGAGGCAGCAGUAGGGAAUCUUCCGCAAUGGUCGAAAGCCUGACGGAGCAACGCCGCGUGAGUGAUGAAGGUCUUCGGAUCGUAAAACUCUGUUAUUAGGGAAGAACAUAUGUGUAAGUAACUGUGCACAUCUUGACGGUACCUAAUCAGAAAGCCACGGCUAACUACGUG
rnacentral:rRNA from 1 species